rnacentral:rRNA from 1 species
UACGUAGGUGGCAAGCGUUGUCCGGAUUUACUGGGCGUAAAGGGCGUGCAGGCGGUCUGUUAAGUGCAGGGUGAAAGCUCCCGGCUCAACUGGGAGAGGUCCUUGCAUACUGGCGGACUUGAGGGGGGUAGAGGAAAGUGGAAUUCCCGGUGUAGUGGUGAUAUGCGUAGAUAUCGGGAGGAACACCUGUGGCGAAGGCGGCUUUCUGGGCCCUACCCGACGCUGAGACGCGAAAGCGUGGGGAGCGAACCGG